CUUAACUCCAAAAAUCCAAUAUAACAACUCAGGUGAGUCUUGUUGAGCUGGCAGAACUGUUAUAUCUUUUGAGACUGCAAUGCUAUUUUAGAGUUUAUGAAGCACUUUUGCCAGUGGAUAUAAAUCUUGUUACCCUCUAAUCCAUAAUCUACAUUUCUUAGUGAUCCACGUUGUCUUUGUUUUCCUAAGGUAACAUCUAAGAAAAGCAUUUUCCCCGGGUUUCCAAGCAUAUGGCUGCCUACUGUUUCAUCUGCUCCAUACCUUCUUGACAUUGCCUUGAAACUCUGCUGCUCCCUUGCACCUCCUAAUCAUACAAUGUAUGAAGCAGAAAGAGCCACAGGAAAAUGCGACCCUGGCCACCUUUGAUUGAUUCAGGGCUGGACACCUGACCUAAGUCAAACCAGUCAGAGCCCUCCAGGGAUUUUAGAACUGCUUGGAUGCUGGAUCUAAUAUAUAAAGCUUGAUUGCUGUCAGUAUCAUAUUUUCUGCCAUGGGAGACCAAAGAAGUGAAGGAAGGUGAUGUGUAAGACAAGAAAGGAGAAAAAGCAAACAUAAAUGUUUCAGUGCUGCUGCUGCUUUUAGAAAGCAGAGAUCAACAUGCAGAAUAAACCAUGAUGUCUUCCUAUGUCAGUUGUUCCUAACAUCCAUCUGGAUUCCCGUCUGAGAGUUCUGUGAGACACUCCAGUAUCUUUGUACCUUUAUACAAUCCUGCCUUCCCUAAUUUGCCACAAAAAUACCUUGGACUUCUCUCUCCAAGCAAAAAAACAAAAUACUAGCUGCUCAUCCCGAAGUGCUCCCAAAUGAACACCUGAACACCAACAUCUGUCUUAGAAUCUGACCUGGGAACAAUUCCUACAAUACCAAGUGAAUUAGUCAAGUUCUUCCAGCCAGCAAGGACAGAACUGAAACAUAGAUUCAUCUUUCUGACCCGAGCAACUUGAAUGGAGCUGGAGGCCAUUAUUCCAAGUAAGAUCAGUGAGAAUGUUGUCACAGAUCAGCACCGCUCUAUCAACUGGCAUUUGGAAAACACUAGCUCAAGGACAGUGGAGAAAUUUUCUGAUGAAAGAUGUGAAACAUCUGGACAAGAUAAGGACAGAAAUAAUUCAGCAAUCACAUCCAGUUCAGUCUUUGCCCAGUUCUUGUGUCUGGAGUCUCUCUAACCCACAGAACCUCUUUGGAUGAUCCCCUGAAGCACUCAUCUUUAGUCACUGGAAAUGCUCUGGAAGGCAGAAAAAAAGAAAUAAAUCCCCUUAGUUGUAUUCA
rnacentral:lncRNA from 13 species